rnacentral:lncRNA from 1 species
CCGUGCCUGGAGACACCCAGACGCAGGCAGCUGGUGGGGAAUGGGAGGGAGAGCUGGGGCAGACGGCUCCCGUAGCGGCUGCUGGGCGCCCUGUUCCACCGCCCACUUCCGACUUGGGACAGUGACGCCUGGCCGCUGGGCCAGUACAGACUACUCCAUUUCCACCACCGAGCACGGACCACCUGCCAACCCCCAGUGACGACAUGGGGCCAUAAAUGGAUGGCUACUGCCAACAAUGACAGGACUUCCACCAUCCCACCCGUAAAUACACGACAGCAGGAAGCUGGAGCUUUGCCCGGCCAGGAGAGGCCGACCACUGGACUCCAGGAGCCCACUUCCUGGAACAUGGCCUCAGCGUUGCUGUGUGAAAGCACUUUGCAGUGUGUGUGGCUGGAGCACAGAUGGGAGCUGGAGAGUAUCAGGGUGUCAGCGCUGGAGGAGGGCCUUCUGCACCCAGGCCUGGAUUCAGCCUCAGUUUGCUCACAUGUAAGAUGGAGCUGACUCAGGCCCCUGCAGUUCCAGUGUGGUGGAGGGAAGCUUCUGGCCCCAGGCACAAGCCAUACAGCAAGCUUGCAGGAAACAGCUCAGCUGCCAUCUUCCCUAAGCAGACCUAAUUAAUUUGGAGUAAGUCAGGACACCACUUCGAUUUGAUUAAAGCAUGAAUAGCAGGGCAUCUUAAGAGAAAUUUAAUUGUAUUGUGCUCAGAUGUGGCACAUGAGAUCCUCUGAGGUUCAGUUGAGACUGAUUUCUGUGCUC